UACGUAGGGUGCAAGCGUUGUCCGGAAUUAUUGGGCGUAAAGAGCUCGUAGGCGGUUUGUCGCGUCUGCUGUGAAAAUCCGGGGCUCAACCCCGGACUUGCAGUGGGUACGGGCAGACUAGAGCGUGGUAGGGGAGACUGGAAUUCCUGGUGUAGCGGUGGAAUGCGCAGAUAUCAGGAGGAACACCGGUGGCGAAGGCGGUUCUCUGGGCCUGUACUGACGCUGAGGAACGAAAGCGUGGGGAGCGAACAGG
rnacentral:rRNA from 1 species